UAUAGUCAAGUAAUUAAGUGCAUGUGGUGGAUGCCUUGGCAGUCAGAGGCGAUGAAAGACGUGAUAGCCUGCGAAAAGCUCCGGGGAGGCGGCAAAUAUCCUUUGAUCCGGAGAUUUCUGAAUGGGGGAACCCACCCGCUAUAAGGCGGGUAUCAUAAACUGAAUACAUAGGUUUAUGAAGCGAACGAGGGGAAGUGAAACAUCUCAGUACCCUUAGGAAAAGAAAUCAAUUGAGAUUCCCUUAGUAGCGGCGAGCGAACGGGGAGCAGCCCAUUAAGUUAUGUGUGUUUUAGUGGAACGCUCUGGGAAGUGCGAACGUAGAGGGUGAUAUUCCCGUACACGAAAGGGCACACAUAAUGAUGACGAGUAGGGCGAGGCACGUGAAACCUUGUCUGAAUAUGGGGGGACCAUCCUCCAAGGCUAAAUACUCCUGACUGACCGAUAGUGAACCCAGUACCGUG
rnacentral:rRNA from 1 species